rnacentral:rRNA from 1 species
AACGAACGCUGGCGGCGUGGAUAAGACAUGCAAGUCGAACGGGAUUACAUUUGUAGCAAUACAGGUGUGAUUCAGUGGCGUAAGGGUGCGUAACACGUGGGGAAUCUGCCGAGAAGUGGGGGAUAGCUCGUCGAAAGGCGAAUUAAUACCGCAUGUGACUAGAGUUGACAUCAACUCGACGUCAAAGCCGGGGUAACCUGGCGCUUCUUGAUGACCCCGNGGCCUACAGCUAGUUGGUGAGGUGACGGCUCACCAAGGCUAUGACGGGUAGCUGGUCUGAGAGGACGACCAGUCACACUGGAACUGAGACACGGUCCAGACACCUACGGGUGGCAGCAGUCGAGUAAUUUUUCNCAAGUGGGGAAACCCUGAAGGAGCGACGCCGCGUGGAGGAUGAA